UUGUGCCUACGGGAGGCAGCAGUGGGGGAUAUUGCACAAUGGGGGAAACCCUGAUGCAGCGACGCCGCGUGUGGGAAGACGGUCCUCUGGAUUGUAAACCACUGUCCCCAGGGACGAAGAUGACGGUACCUGGGGAGGAAGCUCCGGCUAACUACGUGCCAGCAGCCGCGGUAAUACGUAGGGAGCAAGCGUUGUCCGGAAUUACUGGGUGUAAAGGGAGCGUAGGCGGGAUGGCAAGUUGGGUGUUAACUCUACCGGCUCAACUGGUAGUCGCACUCAAAACUGCUAGUCUUGAGUGAGGGAGG
rnacentral:rRNA from 1 species